rnacentral:piRNA from 1 species
UCUCUUGAGACCCAGUCACCUCUACUUGUC